ensembl:snoRNA
AGUUCCUUGGAAGUUAAAGGUUAAGCUUAAGGACUGAUUCAAAGGCAGGUGCAAAAAAUAAACCCUCUUUUGUAACCCAGAACUCAUUUUUCAGUAUGAGUUUUGAUACAUAUAAGAAGGAAAGCC